CCUACGGGUGGCAGCAGUGAGGAAUAUUGGUCAAUGGCCGGAAGGCUGAACCAGCCAAGCCGCGUGAAGGACGAAGGUGCCAAGCAUUGUAAACUUCUUUUUUCAAGAGACAAAAUCAUGCUCGAGAGCCUGACCGAGUGUACUUGAAUAAAAAGCAUCGGCUCACGCCGUGCCAGCAGCCGCGGUAAUACGGAGGAUGCGAGCGUUCUCCGGAUUUAUUGGGUUUAAGGGGUGCGUAGGCGGGCUGUUAAGUCUGCGGUAAAAGCCCGGGGCUCAACCCCGGCGAGCUGUUGAAACUGGCUGUCUUGAGAUGUCGAGAGGUAUGCGGAAUGCGAAGUGUAGCGGUGAAAUGCUUAGAUAUUGCGCAGAACUCCGAUUGCGAAGGCAGCAUACCGGCGGCGAUCUGACGCUGAGGCACGAAAGCGUGGGUAUCGAACAGGAUUAGAUACCCCAGUAGUC
rnacentral:rRNA from 1 species